rnacentral:misc_RNA from 1 species
AAAAAAAAAAAAACUCAUUAUUACAUUUGAAAGGCUAAAAGGGGAAAAGAAAUCUAAUCCUAGUGUCUGAGAGUUUAAGUAAAAAUAAGUUCAGUGCCAAGUCAUGAAACUGCGCUACUUCAAACUGCAAGUGUCUGCUAAUGCACUAAACACGCAAUCAACAUUCUUUUGUUUCCAAAGUAUUAUGGUUAGUCAGAAUCACACCUGAGUCAUAAGGUAGCCCCAGAA